rnacentral:tRNA from 1 species
GCGGUCAUCGUCUAGUUUGGUUAGGACACUGGCCUUCCAAGCCCGCAACCCGGGUUCAAAUCCCGGUGACCGCA